UACGGGGGGGGGCAAGCGUUGUCCGGAAUUAUUGGGCGUAAAGGGCUCGUAGGCGGUUUUGUCGCGUCGGGGAGUGAAAACCUACAGCUUAACUGUGGGCUUGCUUUCGAUACGGGCAGACUUGAGGCAUGCAGGGGGAGAACGGAAUUCCUGGUGUAGCGGUGAAAUGCGCAGAUAUCAGGAGGAACACCGGUGGCGAAGGCGGUUCUCUGGGCAUGUUCUGACGCUGAGGAGCGAAAGUGUGGGGAGCGAACAGG
rnacentral:rRNA from 1 species